ensembl:lncRNA
CAAAUAUAAAAACACAGUUGGCAUUUUGAUAGAACCUGAGUACCCACAACAUGAGAGAGUUUCAUCCAGAUUCGACAGAAAUACCUCUGAGAAUCUUACAAGAAGUAAUCUCAACAGAUUUGAAAAUCAGCAGAGAUACAAUGCGGAUACCGACAGGUUCUAUCGAUACACAAACAGAAAUGACCAACACGCACACGGCACUGGGGACAGAUUUAGACAAGACCGCUACACAGAGUACGGUGAUCAGGACUCUGAACCAUUAGACCCCAGACCAAACACCAGAGCAAGACGUGAGGUCUACUAUAACUCUGCUCGACCCACGGCCAGAAUGAUUUAUAAAAAAGAUUCACACAACACAUACAGCACACAAAGAGAUAGAGGGAACCGUUUCCUCCCCGGAAACAACAGGGGGGGAGGGCGUCAAAGAGAAUCUAAUACGGAUAGAAACCCUGAUUAUACACCUCCCUCGCCCAGGUUAAAGCUCACCAUGAAACUAAUGUAUGAGCUGAUUCGUGCGGUGCACCAUCUGCAUAAUGUAACGACCAAAAUCAAAGAUAACACACCCACUGGGUUCCGAAAAAUGGCACAGUUUCUGAUUGAUACCAUUAAACCAGCUGCCCCUUCUAAAAGAACGGAGGAGCUGUUGGAAGGCAACGCCAGAAACUGGCUACAUAAUACCCAGCUCAUUUUAGAGGAACACUACGAGACCCACACACAUGAGGUCCUAUCAGAAUUAAAAGAAAGAACCAAUCAAGCGGAUUGGAGACAAGCGUUUGAGGUGGCUUCAAACUGGGCGAGAAAAAACUUCCGUGAGAGACUGAACGAAGAGGUGCUUGAAAAAGUGGAGGCCCUCUAUGUUGUACAAAUGAACACUGAAGCACAAACACACACGGGCACUAACAGACAAACGGACACGGUAGUACAACAGACAACAAGACGGGAGAGGAUUACUGUGGACGCACAGACCUCACCGCUGAACGUACCAGUCCCCUCACGCACCCCUACAGGGAGGGGGGAUUGGUCGUUCGAUGCGGAGGAGAACCCUCCCGAAGAGCCUCGACCACUUACACCCACGUCCACACCCGCCAGACACCAAGAGCCCCUGGAGCAGAGAACCCGCAGAAGGGGCGUCACUCAGGUGUUGGUGGAUUUAGAAACAUUAAACGAACCUGAGAGAGAGACGGUUGUUGAGGACGGAGAUCAGACGGGGGCGGUUAACCCUAAUGCAG